UACGUAGGGCGCAAGCGUUGUCCGGAAUUAUUGGGCGUAAAGAGCUCGUAGGUGGCUUGUCGCGUCGGUUGUGAAAGCCCACAGCUUAACUGUGGGCGUGCGGUCGAUACGGGCAUCACUGGAGUUCGGCAGGGGAGACUGGAAUUCCUGGUGUAGCGGUGAAAUGCGCAAAUAUCAGGAGGAACACCGGUGGCGAAGGCGGCCUGCUGGGCAGUUGCUGACACUGAGGCGCGACAGCGUGGGGAGCAAACAGG
rnacentral:rRNA from 1 species